GGAGACGUAGCUCCCUUUGUAGGUGUGAACUUUGGUAAACAAAUCCUUUGUCUUGUGUGCUUAUUGCGUUCUUCAAGUUCUUGUUGACCUAGAGCUUGAUUUGUGCUUAUCUACUUUUUGGUGAAGUUUCUCUUCAAAUCUAGUUCUUGUUUUUACUCUAUCAGAAGUUUCACCCCUGUACCGGAAGUUCCGACCCAUUAAACACUGCUGCGAAGAAUUUUUCAGGUUUUAAACAUCUAGGCUAUUCACCCUUCCCCCCUUCUAGGCAUCACACGAUCC
rnacentral:lncRNA from 1 species